CUGAAAACGCACCAGUUAAUCACUCGAUAGAAAUUUUGAAAUUGUUUUAUUAGUUAAAAGAAAACAGACAAGUAUAUAAGUAAACCAUUUUGUCCACGGUGUUAUGAUAAAUACGUGGACUUUGUGUUAUUCGGACACACUCGUGCUGGUUACUGUUAUUAUUAUUAUUAUUAUUAUUUUAAAUACUCAAGUUCACCUAGUUUGCUUUACAGCAUAAGUUUAAAACAAGACCUGGCUUGCCUCUUCAUUUUAUGUGAUACAAAUUUGUGAUCAUUUUUUCUAAAAUCUCCAUGAAAUAGAAAUGAUAGCACAAAGAGACAUUGCAAGCAAUUUUUCUUACCAAGCCCAACAAACUAAUAAUUUUAACACCCCUGACAUAAUUGCAGAGAUUUCAGAGUGUAAAAUGGAACUUUUCCAACAUUUACACGCCGGAUUAAAAUCGUCACAAAUCAUUUGCUAAGGUGCUCAACUCAGUUCAGCCCCUGCAUAAUACUGUUGACACAAUAUGCCAUCUUAGUUGAAUUAAAAAUGUAAGCAAAGGAUGAAGAGUUUGUGGUGUCUUUCAACUUUCCAUCCACCAUUCAACCUCUACACCAAUUGCAAAACCCUUUUGGCCCCUCUCGGGAUUCAAAGUUGGCGGUGUGUCACAUGGCUAAGACAAUGGCUGUAAUUAUGAGCAUUAGGAUUCCAAAAACCUGCGGCCUUUUUCCCCGAAGCCACAUUCCAUCAUGAUGCAGCUGGCUUGAGACUUCCUGCGGCGGCCAUUUUGACAAGAAUUGGCAACCUGGAUCAUUUUUCAUCAGCGCUACUGCUGUUACGUCAAAGUCUGAUAACUAUUUUUAAGACUCACCACAAAUAAAAAGCUUUGCACCCCCCAAUCCGAAUCUUCCCCGAGCGCUCGCAUUCAGCAGGUCCUUUGAGUUCAUCUUCUUGAUCGAUCGCGUCUCCCACGUGAUGUUCUUACUUUCUGGCCAUCUGCCACGGAUAGGAUCGUCGGAAAGUUCUCUCAGCAUGACAAGUGAUUGGGAGUGCAGUUACGCUCAGUCUAACGACUUAUAAUUCACAUGCUGCAGGGCCGAAACAGUAAAACCUUUGUGUAGAAGAGUAACAAUGAGGGCAAAAGUUGUGUUAAAAAAAAAAAAAAAAAACCUGAGGCAAACUACACCACGGGUUUAGCACAAGAGCUUCUAAUUUAACACAAAUAAAACAGGUCAACAAUGAAGCUAUACAACAGGAUUGCAUAAGAAGCCUUUUUAAAAAAUUGCCACUGGCUGUACAUUUUGUAUUUGGCCUCUUUGUAUUGUAUUAUUUAAGGCUUUAAAAAAAGAUUCCUUCCGUGUCGUUAUUUUUUUGCAGUAUAACCUUGAACAGGGCUAGAGUAUAAAUAUUGGAGUUCCACGAAAUGCAUUGAUGACAAUGCUAACAAUGCAAGUGUGUUUACCCAAGUCAAACUAGUUUUUCGAUGGCUGUACAGUAUUCUAUUUUUAUUAUCUCUGUGAGCUGCCUGUCCUUAAAAUCCUCCUAAAAUUUGUAACCCUGGUUGACAUUUCGCAAUGUGUGAUUGGAAUUUUUUAAUUGGUUGGCCUCGGGAACUGUUAUGAAACUUACUGCUAGGGCGUAUCAAAACAAUUAGUUGCACAACAAUGCUUCUUAUGCAUCUCUUUUAAUAUGUUUACUCUGGCGGGGGGGGGGGGGGGGCAAGGAAAUCAACUUCUUUCGAUUUGUAGUCUUAGUGCGGUAGUGAAAGCGGGGAUAAAAGUGUCUUGUCAGCCGCCAUGUUUUAUGUCAAGCGUGACCUCGGCGAGACGUAUGAAUGGAGGGAAAGGCGCCCACAUCUGGUCGGCAAAUGUUCCACGCGAGGAACCAAAUUAUCCCCCGACCAAAAAGCGGCUGGACCGGUCCCUGUUCCCGGCGAACAACGAGCAACAGGGACCAAAAAAAAAGGAUAACUGAUAAUAAAAUGCUUUUGAGCUUUCAUUCAAGAUAAAAUAUGUUGUUUGCGACACUCUGUGCUAAUUUUUACAAUGGAAACGCAAAACAACGGUGAAUUAAACUUUACUGCUGGUGGGGGAAA